GCUCAACUUGGAUUCCAUUUGCAGUUUCAUACCCUCGUGACCUCGUCACAAAAUCGUCAAUUUUUAUGUGCUGCUGCUCUUAGGAACCGUAGAAUUUACUGGGGGUAUCCCAUACUGUGUGUUUUGUGAAUAUUGGGAUCAUGAUCAUUGAUUGAUAAUAUAUCCAAUGGUCAUGGAUAUUUGAAAAUAGUUAACCUAUUUAGCAAGUAACCUGUUCUUAAAAAAAUAAUAAUAACGAACGCUUGCUUCAGUUCGCUAUCUCAAUCUCAGUCUGACCCUCACAGCCCACGGGUUCUCCAUCUUAUUGGUGUUCCUGAUCAAGCUGAUCAGAAAGAUGAGGUUAUCAGAACAGUAAUGGAUUUUGAAGAAUUCUGAAGUUGAAGACGGCCGGUUAUACUGAGAAUGCUAUUAAAUAUCGGCAGGUAGAUAAUGUGAAAACAUAUAGUAUAUAUAAUUGGAACACACUGUAAUAAUUAUAUGAAAACUUGUUCUGAUGAAAAAAUAGUUCUCCAAGCUUUAUGAUUUAGAUUCAUUUGCUUACUAAUGUGA